rnacentral:ncRNA from 1 species
UGUUUCGGGAGAGAUCUGAUUCUUUUGGGGUCAGACGCCGAAGGCGCAACCGCCCCGGAAACGCUCAGGCCAAAGGACCGAGACAG